rnacentral:rRNA from 1 species
GACGAACGCUGGCGGCGUGCUUAAUACAUGCAAGUCGAACGGACAGGCCCUGCUUUUGUUGCUUUCUCGAUUGGCGAACGGGUGUGUAACACGUGUGUAACCUGCCCUUGACUUUGUGAUAACUUCAGGAAACUGGGGCUAAUACCGGAUAUGAUCUCCUGCUGCAUGUGGGUGGUUGGAAAGUUUCGGCGGUUGGGUCUGUACUCGCGGCUUAGCAGCUUGUUGGUAUGGUAGUGGAUUACAAAGGAUUUGACGGGUAGCCGGCCUGGGAGGGUGACAGGGCACAGUGGGACUGGGAUACGGCCCAGACUCCUACGGGAGGAAGGAGCGGGAAAUAGAGCAAAAUGGGCGGAAGCAUGAUGGAGGAACGCCGGGUGGGGGAAGACGGCCUUCGGGUAGUAAAACGCUUGCGAGUGAGAAGGAGCGUGAGUGACGGUAAUGGGCAAAGAAGCACGGGCUAAUUAGGU